rnacentral:rRNA from 1 species
UACAGAGGGUGCAAGCGUUGUUCGGAAUUAUUGGGCGUAAAGGGCGCGUAGGCGGCGGGGCAAGUCGGGGGUGAAAUCUCAGAGCUCAACUCUGAAACUGCACUCGAUACUGCUUUGCUUGAGGACUGGAGAGGAGAUUGGAAUUCACGGUGUAGCAGUGAAAUGCGUAGAUAUCGUGAGGAAGACCAGUGGCGAAGGCGGAUCUCUGGACAGUUCCUGACGCUGAGGCGCGAAGGCCAGGGGAGCGAACGGG